GUCGCCUCCUAAAAUGUAACGGAGGCGCCCAAAGGUUCCCUCAGAACGGUUGGAAAUCGUUCGUAGAGUGUAAAGGCAUAAGGGAGCCUGACUGCGAGACCUACAAGUCGAGCAGGGACGAAAGUCGGGCUUAGUGAUCCGGUGGUACCUCGUGGGAGGGCCAUCGCUCAACGGAUAAAAGCUACCUCGGGAUAACAGGCUGAUCUCCCC
rnacentral:rRNA from 1 species